CCUACGGGUGGCAGCAGUGGGGAAUAUUGCACAAUGGGGGAAACCCUGAUGCAGCGACGCCGCGUGCGUGAAGACGUAAUUCGUUAUGUAAAGCUCUUUCAGCAGGGAAGAAAAUGCCGGUACCUGAGUAAGAAGCCCCGGCUAACUACGUGCCAGCAGCCGCGGUAAUACGUAGGGGGCAAGCGUUAUCCGGAUUUACUGGUUGUAAAGGGAGCGUAGACGGCAGUGCAAGUCUGGAGUGAAAGGCGGGGGCUCAACCCCGGGACUGCUCUGGAAACUGUACGGCUGGAGAGCAGGAGAGGUAAGCGGAAUUCCUGGUGUAGCGGUGAAAUGCGUAGAUAUUA
rnacentral:rRNA from 1 species